UUCUUUCCAGCCGAGGAUUGAACCCAUGCAUUGAGCUACAUCCCCAAUAUGUUCUGUUAUUAUUAUUAUUAUUAUUUUUUUUAAUUUGAGACAAGAAUUCACCAAGUUACUGAGGGUGGGCUCAAACUUUCGAUCCUCUUGCCUCAGCCUCCUAGAGUGGUGAAAUUACAGAUGCGGGACACCACCCUCAAUGACAGCUUGAACUACAAGGGGCCUGUGAUGGUGACUGACAGCUGGCCAGUGUGGUCUUUAGGAGUGUGAACUCACAUUGGCCUGAGUUCACUGAUUCUGCCACCAAGGAGGUGACCUCGUCCAAGUUAGACUCGGUGCCUCAAUUUACCCAGUGGAACUCAGAGAGCUGGCCUGGAGGUCACCCCACCCCCAUCGCCACUGAAAGGAGCCAAAGAGGGGGCAGGGGGCAGAACUGGGGCUCCCUCUUUGGCUGUGCUGCCCGUGGCUAUCUAGCAGAACGACCCUGGCGAGCCUGGGAGUGGGGAGACGCAGAUGGCUUCGACCUUGGCCCGGCGCCGGCACCGUGACUCAUUUUCUUCAUCCGUCCAUGAGACCAUCGGACUGGAUGUUCUGGAAGAGUCCUUCAGGGCCUGAAUCAAAUUUCUCCUGCACUGGCUCCCUUCCCCUGGCACUGCCGGCUCCUCCGCAGCCUAAAUGCUGCAGGGGCGGAGUGUGUACGUACUUACGAGGGGAGCGGCGCCAGAUUUUUGCUUGACCAGACUUGGACUCCUGAGCCUUCCGCUGGGAAACCAGUGCUAGCCGGAGCCCCCCACCGCCCACAUCUCUCAGGAUCCCUCGCCAGGUGAUGCGGGAUCGCCCCUACCUGCCUUCAGCUAUAACCGUGCUGGGCGGCUUUAGAUCGAACCCCUCACCCUUCGUGUUUCCUCUUAGACAUUUCCCAGCCGUGCCCCACCCUGCUCCUUGGCUAGGUCUCCCUUCCUGCCCCCCGGAACUUGAGCCCACAUUCCCCACUGCUGAACCCCACCUCAGUGGUCCUGUGCUUGUCUCAAGGGUCCUGAAUAGACUGUGCUUUAACGAAUGUCCCUGAAUAGUGGAGUUUGAAUCCAAGACCUUCCCGCCGAGCUGCAUCCCCAGGCCCUUUAAAGAUUUUUUAAAAAUGUGUUUUAUUUUCAGGGAGGUAGAUCUUUUUUUUUUUGGUACCGGGGAUUGAACUCAAGACCUUGUGCUUGCUAGGCAGGCGGUGGAACCACUGAGCUAAAUCCAUGGCUCAGAUCUUUUGCAAAUAGAAAAAAGACCAAGAGAUGAAGAAAGAAGGGGGAGGAAAGAAAAAGGGGAUGUAAAAAGAAUUAAGAUGUGUUAUGUACAUGUACCAACUCCCCAUGAUGAAUGUAAUCACUAUGUACUAAUAAAAAUAAAAAUUUAAAAA
rnacentral:lncRNA from 1 species